rnacentral:rRNA from 1 species
CGGACGGGUGAGUAACGCGUGAGAAUCUAGCUUCAGGUCGGGGACAACCACGGGAGACUGUGGCUAAUACCGGAUAUGCCGAGAGGUGAAAGGCUUGCUGCCUGAAGAUGAGCUCGCGUCUGAUUAGCUAGUAGGUGUGGUAAAAGCGCACCUAGGCGACGAUCAGUAGCUGGUCUGAGAGGGUGAUCAGCCACACUGGGACUGAGACACGGCCCAGACUCCUACGGGAGGCAGCAGUGGGGAAUUUUCCGCAAUGGGCGAAAGCCUGACGGAGCAAUACCGCGUGAGGGAGGAAGGCUCUUGGGCUGUAAACCUCUUUUCUCAGGGAAGAAAAAAAUGACGGUACCUGAGGAAUAAGCAUCGGCUAACUCCGUGCCAGCAGCCGCGGUAAUACGGAGGAUGCAAGCGUUAUCCGGAAUGAUUGGGCGUAAAGGGUCCGCAGGUGGCUAUGUAAGUCUGCUGUUAAAGAACCUAGCUUAACUAGGUAAAAGCAGUGGAAACUACAAGGCUAGAGUGCGUUCGGGGUAGAGGGAAUUCCUGGUGUAGCGGUGAAAUGCGUAGAUAUCAGGAAGAACACCAGUGGCGAAGGCGCUCUACUAGGCCGCAACUGACACCGAGGGACGAAAGCUAGGGGAGCGAAUGGGAUUAGAUACCCCAGUAGUC